CUAAUAAGCGUUCCUUUUUCAAAGCUGUACUGUUGUCGGUAAAUUCUUUUUACCAAACCCCCAGUCGACCACUUCCCGGUGCCGGGGCUCUGACACCGCGCGCAGAGACAGAGGCAGGCGGCCCCCUCUCUGCUGCCCCUUCUCCCUGCUGGUCUCACGAAUGCUCUCACCUGAGCUUCUCCUUUUCCUUUUCUACUUUCUCCUUUACCAAGGGCGCAGCUGCUCUUCGGAGAGGCAGUUGGGUCCAUAGAAUCAGCUGCCUCUUGGAGAGCGGUGUGAGGUUAUGAGGGAGCUGAGGGGAAGGAAAGAGAGGGUCCAGUGUGCCUCACCUUGGUCCCACACACCGAGGGAAAGGGUUUCAGAGAGGACUGGUGGAUGCUGACACACCGUCCAUUUUGAGAAGACUCCUUGUAUGGGUGGCAGUGUGCUUCCCCAAAACUCAUAUGUUGAAGCCCUAACCCAUAACACCUUAGAAUGUGACUGUAUUUAGAGACUGGAUUUCUAAAGAGGCGAUUAAUUUUAAAGAGACCAUUAGGGUGAGCCCUAAUCCAAUCUGCCUGCUGUUCUUAUAAGAAGAGGAAAUUGAACCUGCAAGGAGCUAUUAGGGCCUCGUGCGCAGAGGGAUGACCGCAUGCAGAGGCCACAAGAGGGCGCCCUCUGCAAGCCAAGGAGAAACCUCAGAAGACACCAACCCUGAAGAGGAAAUUGAUGUUGGACUUCUGGCCUCCGGAAGAACACAGAGUCUUGCUGUGUUGCUCAAGCUGACCUCCAACUUCUAGGCUCAAGUGAUCCUUCCACCUCGACCUCCCGAAGUGUUGGAAUAACAGGUGUGAGCCUGCACCCCAGCCUAAUUCCACCAUUAAUUUGUCUCAGCAACUCCUUUGUUGCCAACUUUUACCGGACCCAUGGGUCUGAAAGAGAAGCACAGUCCAUAGUGUUCCAGCUUUGAGUGUGGCUCUCUCAGAAGCAGGUGUGACAGCUGCCUCCUUGCUAAGAGAAAGACGUUUCAGUGUCUGCCUCCUGGGAAUGGAGUCUCCUGGUGACUCUGAGGAUGGCGCAGGACUCUCCCAGCUAACACUACACAGAGGCUCCCCAUCUUCAUGCCACCCCUUUGCCAGCUGCAGCCUGUGUGGACCCAGACACUUCUGACCCAGGCUCCAGUGCCCGCAUGUCUGAUAGCCUGUAUUUCAAACUCUGGGCUCCCCUGGACAUUCCCUCUCCAGCUGUGUGUGAUGUUAUUUUUCAGACCCAUUUACCGUUGUCCAGUGGCCUGCCAAGACCUUUAGGUGAAGAUGCUGACUCCCUCGCCGGCUCUUCUUCAUUCUUUUCAAACACACGUCAGAGUGGAACGCACAUCCCUUUUGCUUCACCUUCCAGGGAGAGAACGAGUCUUGAAGCAUCAACAGCUCUUUGAACACUUCCCAGGAAGACUAUUCAAGGUAAAAUUAUGAGUAUCUUUUACAGCAGAAAUCCUUCUAUCAUCAUCUAUCAGAGAGCGAUAGGGAGCAGAGGAUGGGCAGGACAUUAAUAGCACACAUUUCACCUUGGCCAGGACCACACCACGUGCAGCCCACCCUCACCACUGCAGAAGAGCCUGUCAUGCCUUUGCCAUGCCUCUUGGCAAACUUCACCACUGGCAGUGCAGGGACUGUGAGACUCUGAGCUCUAUCAUUAACUGAUGCUGAAACUGUGGGCAAGUUGCUUAAUUUGGGUGAGAGUUCAUUUCUUCAGCUCCAAAGCGGUAAGAGAUUUAUUAAAACAACAAGUGGCCAUUCACAGUGGCUCACACCUGUAAUCCCAGCACUUUGGGAGGCCGAGGUAGGUGGAUCACUUGAGCUCAGGAGUUCGAGACCAGCCUGGCCAACCUGGUAAAACCCCAUCUCUACUAAAAAUACAAAAAGUAGCUGGGCAUGGUGGUGCCCGUCUCUAGUUCCAGCUACUUGGGAGGCUGAGGCACGAGAAUUGCUUGAACCCGGGAGGUGGAGAUUGCAGUGAACCAAGAUUACAAUGCUGCACUCCAGGUUGGGCGACAGAGUGAGACUCUGUCUCAAUCAAUCAACAAAACAAGUAAUAGCCAAAAAUAAAUAAGUCAGUCAGUCAGCAUAAGUGCCUGACUGACAGGGAUAUCAGAGGCCUAGGAUGCACUGACAUAUUAUCUUCAAAAGAUUUUUGUGAGAAUCAAAAUAUGAUAAUGCAAAUAUUAGAUAAGUAUUCAAGAACCAUUUUUUUGAAAAAAGGUGCAAAAAUCCUUUAAAAAUAUUACCAAAUUGAAUCCAGCAAUGUACAAAAUGGACCACCAUGACCCAGUGGGGUUUAUCCCGGAAAUGCAAUAUUUAUAUAACAUACAAAAAUCAGUCAGUGUAAGCCAUCACAUUAAACAGACUAAAAAUAAAGUAUAAUCAUCUCAACAGAUGCAUAAAAAGCAUUAGAUAAUGUUCAACACUGAUUCAUAAAAACCAAACAAAAAACAAGGAAUAGAAGGAAAUAUUCUCACCUAGGUAAAGGACACUGACAAAGAUACCUAUAGUUAACAUUAAACUAAAUGGGAAAGGCUGACCAUAAUGCCCUCAAGAUUGGGAACAAAGUAAGGAUGUCUACUCUCACCAUAUCUAUUUAAUAUUAUACUAUCGUUCCUAGCCCAUCUAAUAAGAUUAGAAAAGAUACAAAAGGCAUACAGAUCAGAAAGGAAGAAAUAAAAUGAUUUAUUUGUGGAUGACAUGGUUGUCUAAAGAAAUCCUAAGAAAUUUACAAAAACUAUUAGAGCUAAUACAUGAGUUUGGCAAGGAUGCAGGGUAUAAGGCCAGCAUACAAAAAUCAUCAUUUUUCUAUACAAUCAGUGAGUAAUUAGAAAUUUAACAAUAUCAUUUAUAAUGUCAUGAAAAUAUUAAAUAUGUAGGGGUAAAUUUAGCAAAAUAUGUGUAAGACUUGCACAAUGAAAAAAUGUAAAACAUAGCUUACAGAGAUUAAUGAAGACCUAAAUAAACAGAGACCUAUACUAUGCUUAGAGACGGAAAGACUCAAUGUUAUCACAAUGCCACUUCUCCACAAAUUGAUCUAUACACUCAACACAUUUCCAAUCAAAAUCCCUGAGGGAGUUCUGCAGAAAUUGACAAGCUAAUUCUAAAAUUUGUAGGGAAAUGCAAAGGAUCUAGAAUAGAUCUGUACCCAGAAUACCCAAAACAAUUUUGAUUAAAAAGAACACAGUCACAGGAUUUACAAUACCUGAUUUUAUGACUUCAUAUAAAGCUGUAGUGAUCAGGAGAUUGCAAAAUGUGUAGUUCUGAUCACUGGUACACCAAGCAUUUAAGAGAAAGAACUAUGUGUGGGCUGAAGCAGAGAAGUCUUCAUGGGUGGGAACGGACAGAGAAAUGGAGAAUGCACACCUGGAUUUGUGUCUGCAGAUUCCAAGCACGUGAUAAGAUUACAGAGCGUAUUGACAGAUUGGAUGAGGCCCACCCACACUGGGGAGGUCAAUCUGCUUUACCCAGUUUACCAAUUCCAAUGUUAAUUGCAUCCAGAAACACGUUUAACCAAAUAUCUGGGCACCUUGUGGCCCAGUGGACACACAAAAUUAACCGUCACAUAAGAUCUCAGCUCCACCUUGGAAAAUCUUGAUUCUGUGGGUCUGGAGGAAACCAAGGAACUAUAUUUUUAAUGGGUAAGCCGGGGUGAUUCUGACAUGCAGGUGUCUUUUUAACUCCGGCUCCUAACCAUGGUGCUUAAGCAAUGUGAUAAGGUGGUGCUGUGGGAAGGCUUCCUGCACAGGUGAGAUGAGGGGAUAGUGCUGCUUGGAGCCUGCUGAAAUUAUUCACACUAGCCACUCACGGGAUACUUACCUUGCCUCAUUCCCUCUUGCGAUAGCCACAAUAGAGCUUUUUGCCUGAGCUUUCCUCUCGCUGCUUCUGCUUCCUGCCCAAUGCUGGUACUUUCCUGUGUGGUUCUCUGCAUGGUGGGCAGGCUUCCUGUUUCUAGGGCUCUGUGAGUAGAAACUUCUGCCUCCAUAACAGUCAUUUCCAUGUCUCUGUGUUUUACCACAUCUGAUUUAAACAAGUCCUGGGUACAUUUUAAAACAAGAUGACCACAGAAAAACAGGGAAGGUGCUGAGCCUUUCAUUGCUAACACUUCGUUUGGAUUUUUGUCUUCACGUGUCCUCUGGAUAAGAGAAAACCUCACCAAGAAAGACCAUCAAACCAAGGCCUGGCUCCAAGAGCGGUAAUCUCUGUGGGCCACAGACACACAUGCGGGCUCCCACUGGGGCAUACUGUGCACAUACCCAGCCUGACCUUCUGUUAUCUUUGUUGAUGUUACAAUGCAAGUGCUAAAUUUUAGAAACUGCUGGAGACAGACUCUCCUGUAAGAAGAGCCAAAGAUAGCAAGAGGACACUUGAUUUUUACCUGGAACCAAUCUCAUGAAGUGACUAAUUUAGGAGAAAUAGAAUGCAAUCUCAGGUUUUUUGUGACAAUGAGCGCAUUAGGCUUGGUGCUACUGCCUCACAAAUCAUCUUUUGCCAAGCCUGGAAGGGGGAGUUUAGGGGCAGCUUGUUCAGUGCAGAGAAAGAACAUCUUUUUUACACAGUAGAUCAUUGUUUAACAUCACUAAGAUUGUGAUUUCUCCUCUCAUUUCCUCUGCUCCAUCUUUCAAAACAUUUUGACCUGAUAGUGAAAAUGGUUUUGAUCUCUAGCUUUCUUGUUAUAGUCUAAUUAUUUUUGACAACUAAUUGCAUUUGCUCUCUCUCAUAUGCUUGACCUGCUCCUAUAGGACAUGUCUACUGGAAUCAGAAUUUUUUCCUUGGAGAUGGAGAGCUCCAAAACCCACAGUGCUUGGAAGUGAGUAUUGUGUGGUUGGAGAUAGUUUGCAGACUUUAGAUGGUAGCUGUGGAUGGUGAACUGAAAGUCAUCCUCAGCUUAAUGAUGAGUUGUCAUUUAUAAAAGAUAUCCAAAUUUUUUAUUGCAAUUAUUGUAUAGAAGUGAUCUCACAUCUGUUCUCCUUUUCUCUGCCUCCCAAAGGUAUUAUACAG